AUCUAAAAUAUCUGAAACUGUGGUCCGAAGAUGAACGGAUGUCUUACGGGUUUGGAACGACAUGAGGGUGAGUCAUUAAUGACAUAAUUUUUGGGUGAACUAACCCUUUAAUUUUUACCUUAUAAAUUUGGAUUGUCUAGAUAUGAUUUGCUUUUGUUUGGUUGUUUAAAAAGUGCUAAAAUAUUGACUGAUUGAAAUGUAAAAUGUAUGCGUUUUUUAAAUGACUAUGUACAGCUGUGUUAGAAAAGGUCUAAUUGACAGAUGAAAGUUAUUGCACAUAGCUUCACCUGGACACGUAAUGGAGUGUACCUGAAUUUGGCUCGAGAUCCUCAGGUCAGCAUGAGGUGGCGUUCUGGCUCAUUAGAGAUUUUCUUCUGGGGUCGUCCUGAUGACUAUGAGGGUGUCUAUCAGUGCACGCAACUAAUGAGUUUGGCUCUGCUCUGUCCAGUUACAUCAAUAUGUGUGUCACCAGUAAGCCCGUACACAGCAGAGGCCUGUACCUAGUUGAAGGAGUAUCUUGAGCCAGUCUCAGUGGUGGUUGGACUUCCUCUCAUCCUUCCCUGCAAACCUCCUGUAGGUCCACCAAAACCUGACACUUAUUGGCUGAACAGCAGUAAGUGUCCGACUCAGAUGUUUCUGAUAUGAAAGAUAAAAUGAUCUAAAGUUGGAAAUAAUAUCCAUAUUUUGGCUCUCCUAAACCUGAUCUGCGGUGGUAAAUAUAUUGUCUUACUAUCAUUUACAUUCAUCAUCAAAAUCAGUUUGGUAAGUUGUAAGAACAGUAACUUGUAAGUUUUAACUUUUAAAUUCUCACAAAUACAAGCAUAAAAACAGGAAAUAUGUCUGUUGUGAUUGUGAGUAUACAAAAUGUGGAGUAAUUGCAUAAAAGAUUUCAAAAUGUAAGUGUACAUAGCAUUGCUGAUGUGUACAGACGAGAUACAGGCAUCUACACCUGCAGGGUUAAAAGUGAACUGGAGGAGGUCACUUACUCAGCCAAACCCACUGUGAUGGGUACCAGCAUAAAAUAUAUUCCAUUUCUAUACAUGUUUGCAGUGUAAACAUGAGCAUAUUGUUGAUGCAUACUUUUGCUUUUAGAUUUUCCAGACCCGCCUAGUGACGAGAUAUCAGACCCAUCAGAGAGGAGCGUUAGACUCACCUGGGUACCAGGACUGAGUGUUAUGUCUGUAAAGAGGACUCGUAUUUGAACUUAUUUUACUUUUUAUUUUUCUCAUUAGUUCCCAUCAAGUCAGCACUCACAUCACUGAACUGCAUGAAAACAUUCUAGCAUCAACACCACUGCCCAUUCCAAACUCUUAAAGUGACCAGCGCUUUUAAUAUCUUAUCAAUGUAACAAACACAUAAGUUAAUUUAACACCAGAUUAUGAGUACAAUUACAGUAUAAUUACAGAGAGCAAGGGAACACAGUGUCUCGGGUGUGAUCUGCACCAGAAGGGGCACGGUACUUUCCUAAGCCAAUUGGCAUGCCAACACGAACCAUCAGAUAACUUGAAUGUAACUGGAGCUAACUGCUUGUGCACCUGCUGGGGCUGUGACAAGAAAGUGUGGAGCUUGUUUUUCCGGUGUGGCUGCUGAACCUGCACCCAGUCCAUUGGGAAGAUUCUUGGAAUCUGGAUCUUUUUCUUUGCGUCGAAUCUGCCCCGCGCUUUGAGCUGUUGUCCAUGUACCCUGGCUUUCACCACAGGAUUUCCACCAUGAGAAGUAGGAGGGCAAAGUCUAUGCAGGGGUAACUCCAGCUCUCGCCCUAGCAUCAGUUUUGCUGGCGACACCCCAGUGAUGGCAUGCUGAGCUGCUCUGUAGUGUAGAAGACUCUGAGACAAGUCCUCAUUGAAAGAGCAGCCUUGUGCUAAGUGGGCUCUCAGACCAUUUUUUAGUGACUGAUUGAAUCUUUCUAUGCCCCAAUUCAACUGUGGGUGAUAGUAAGCUGGUCGAAUGUGUUUGAUGCCUUUUCUUUGGAUGUAGGGGGUUUGAAUCCUAGGGAACACAUGUUAGGAGAAAAUUGUUAGCUUGAAUGCAAUGUCAGUCACUUUGGAUAAAAGUGUCUGCUAAAUGCAUUAAUGUUAAUGUAAUGUAGCUGGUAAACUCAGCAGACACUAGUUGGGGGCCAUUGUCUGUCGUCAAGGUCCUUGGCAGGCCCCAGUGGGCAACGAGCAUCUCCAGAAAGUCGAUGAUGGAACUGGAUGUGACCGAGCCCACAGAUGUAACCUCUGGCCACUUUGAAUGUAGAACAUAAACUACUACAAGGAAACACAAAGGAUGAGGCACGUCAUGGAGUUCCCCAUAGAUGUUCAGCUGAAUGUGGUCCCAGGGUCGAGUUGGCCAAGGCGAAAACCCUAGUGGCGGCUGAACUGUUGAUCCUGUUUUCCCACUUAGAAGACAUGGAGCACAAUCCCGAACAAGCUGUUCAAUGUCUUUGUCCAACCCUGGCCAUCAUACAAGAUCACUACAGUGCUGCUUUAGUUUGACUGUGCCGUGAUGGCCCUCAUGCGCCAUAGUCAGGCAUAGUCAUCUGGGUCUAGCAGGAAUAAAGGCGCAGUGCCCACGAGCCAAGCAUGAGUCAUUUCAUCAUUUUCGUGUUUCACUCAGGCAUAUGGCAGGAUUUCUGUUGCCACUUGAGUUUGCCAGUCAUUCAGGACAUACUCACGGACCGCAGAUAGUGUGGAAUCAGCAGCAGACUCUGCUGUGAGUUCCUCCAAGGACACAAAAGCUGUCAGGAGUGCAUGCACUAAAUGAAUAAGGUCCCUGUCCUCAGCCACCUGACAGAAGGCAAUGGGCGAUGACACAGAACAGAACGGACAACAAAUCGGCCACCACAUUAUCUCUGCCUGAGGUGUAUUGUAUUGUAAAGUCAUACUGCUGGAGGUGGUCAGUCCAAUGGUACAUGCACAGUGGUUUGUGACCAGACCCAGAAGGAGACAUAAGUGCACUGAGGGCUUGGUGAUCAGUCUGAAGGGUCAAUUCUCUGCCAUAAAGUUUGGCAUGCCAGUGCUCGCAGGCCCAUACACAAGCCAGAGCCUCCCUCUCUCCUGUUGAGUAAUUUUGUUCCAUCAGGAUGAAUGCGCGAGAAGCAAAUAGCCUUGACGGAGGUCAAGUUUGGAAAAAAUUGUUGAGCCAUGAAAGUGUGUAGUCAGCUCUUCGAUUGAUGGCAGAGGGUAGCAAUCUGGGAUUACUGCUUUGUUGACGGACCUUAAGUCCACACUAACUCUUAGUCUGCAAGUUUUUUCUUAGCCACUGUCAGAUAAAACAACAGGUGUCAACAGGUUCGAUGAUGCCCUCUGCUUGCAGUUUCACAAGUUCUGCUGUGACUUCCUUACGCAAUGCCAGUGGAAUGCGGCGAAGUGACUGAAUGAUUGGUCUAACUGUAGGAUCCAAAAGAGGCUGAUGAGUGAACGCAGCUAGGCAGCCAAGGCCUUAAAACAAUGUUGGCCAUUCAUGUUGGCAGAGACAGUUGACAGUCUGAAUUUGAGCCCCCUUAUUGUCUAGCAGAGAAAAGCCCAGACUAAUAAACAGGUCCAAUCCAAUGAUAUUGCUGACAUGGUGUGUAAUGUGAAAAGGGAAGUCGGGUAGGACCUUGUUGCCAUACUGGACAGGUGCAUGUACAAGACAGAUAACAUAAAUUGCAGAACUUCCAUAUCCAAACAGAUUCAGAGAAGGCGGCUGAAGGGGCAAGUGUGUCAGGAAAUGUUCAUAAGUAGCCAUAUUGAGUAGUGAGACUCUAGCCCCUGUGUCCAGUAGCAGUGAAAUACAGGAAUCUGCCAUAGUAACAGCGCAUGUAGAAAACCCUGCUGAAUUGAUAUUUAUUGAAUGAAUAAUGGCAGGGGUUUUAUUGUUAACAUGUGGGUUUCAUUGUGUAGGAGCUUGAACUGGGGCAGACUGACAACAUUUUGCAAAGUGGUUCAGCUUUUGACAGUGUCGGCAUGUUUGUCCCGGUGCAGGGCAGUCAGGGGCAUGUGAUGAGUGUCUAGUGGACCCACAAUUUCCAAAGUUUGAGGAUACUUUGAUGAAUUAAAUGUUCAAAAGAACAGCAUUUAUUUGAAAUACUUUUGAAAAAUCUUUUGUAACAUUAUGAAUGUGUUCCGAAAUAACAUGGAAAUCAGCUGGGAGGUAAUGUUCUGAUGAUUGAUGGAUUGCAGUCAUUUUAUUCAGAGUUGUUGAAUUGUGAUGUAAUCACGUGCAUAUGAUUUAUAUUAACUGUGAUGUUUAUGUUGUGUCUGAAGCCACUGGAGUACAGAGAAUGGACCGUAAGAUCACAUCUACUGAAGUUCUGUUCAGCAUACAUUAGAAGAAGAGAUUCCGGUCAGUGCUUCACUCAUAGUGGGUUCUCUAACAGGUCCAGUUGCUGCUCCAUCUGAUCUGAGCGUGUCAGACAUUGAGAGCACAAAGCUGAUAGUCCAUUGGGAUCCAGUGGCACGAGCUGACAUCAUGGGUGAAAUAAAAGAGUACAAAGUUUAUUACUGGAGAGAGAGCAGUCGUCUGCCCUGGCACAUUGUUAGCCGGAGGAUUAAGACCAAGAGUUUUAAAGCUAAUGGACCUCGUCUGUCUGGGACCCUGACCGAUCUUGUACCAUAUAGUAACUACAGGAUGUAUAUUGUAGUGGCCAAUAAUCGCUUUGAGGGUCCGCCCAGCAACACCAUUGAGUUUCAGACACCUGAAGGAGGUAUUAAACUGUCCAGUUAACAUUAUAAUUGAUCAAAUAAUGCAGCUUUGUUGAGCGGAAGACCGUUCUUUGAAAAACAUUUUAAAAAUUGCACUGACCACCAGCCUUUGAACAGUUGUGUGUGUUUUUUUUUAUUGGCUACUGUUGUCAUAUGUUUUAAGUUUUGUAUGUCAUGUUUAUGUUUUCUGCUUCACAUUAUAUUAAUUGUGACUUCUAUAUAUGGAUAACACGAGUGUCCACAAUGCCCUAUACCAGACGGUAUGUAUCUCUUUAAGUUUUGUUAUGCUGUACUCAUAUUAGACAGCAAUUUGUCUUUUGAAAAUCAUAUUUCCAAUGUUACAAAAACUGCAUUUUUCCAUCUUAGAAACAUUGCCAAGCUACGAAACAUGUUAUCUGUUUCUGA